rnacentral:rRNA from 1 species
UUACAUUACUUACAUUCACUUUUAGUUUAAAAUUGCUAUCUACAUUGAACUCUAAAAUUUAGUUUAGAUAACUCUCAAUUAGAGACCAUUGGAAGUGUUUUGUGAAGUCCUACACAAGUCCUUGUGGAUAGACCUCAGUCUUACCGUGAUUAUUACUACAUCGCGGCCUUGCACUUGAGGCGAGUGAACAUUUGUGGAAGCCUUUGAUUCAUCGGAUACGGUGAAUGCUUCGAGUUCUCCAUGAGUUGAAACAGUUGGAUUUCUAUUAGAACCAAUUGUUGAAGAGUUCAUGUAUCUUGUGUGUGUAGAUAUGAGAUAGGUGUUUUUGCUUGUUGAUCUUAAUUUAAUUAGAAUUCAAAUCAUUGGUUCUAGUCAAGUCUAGUGACAGGAUUUGAUGAAAGCUAUGGUUAUGAUCUCAACUAGAUUGUAUAGAGGAUUGGCCUAUACGAUUGAGUGUGCCCAAUGCCUAAGCAUUAUUGAGGGAACCAAAUUAAUGAACAACCAUCAAUUUUAGACUAUUGUUGUGCUUUAACUGCUAUAUCUCUUGGCUGGAUAGAGACAAGACUUCGAUUCCAGUCGUGCAUUGAAUCGAAUAAUUGAAUUAAGCAUGGCUAAGUGGAUCCUUAAUGCUCUAGCGUUUGCUUUAGAUUAUUUUUCUUCUAACUUAGAAUAAUCUUAUUUUAAAACCAAAUCCAUAUUGGUUUAGUUUUAGAAAUUAGGUAACCUUAGAGUGUUUGGAUCUAGUUUUCCAUAUUCCUUCCUUAUGGAUCAACCUCGGUCUCAUCGACUUUUUACUACUUCACAACCUUACACUUGGGGCAAGAGAACACCACAAUUCCAUACCAUUUGAGGCUCUAAUCCUAGGAGAUUCAAGUCAUAUCCCUUGUGAUUCAUCAUAAGAAAGAUCAGCUAUCCUGAAGGAAACUUCAGAGAGAACCAGCUAUCCUGAGGGAAACUUCAGAGGGAAACUUCUGAAGCGCGCAACCCACACCUGGCCAUCAAGGAGAUUGACAUGCCCCGAUGAGUAGGAGGAUGCGGCGGUAGCUGUGAAACCUUUGACGCGAGCCAGGGCGGAGUGGCCAUUGGUGCGGAUCUUGGUGGUAGUAACAAAUAUUCAAAUGAGAACUUUGAAGGCCGAAGAGGGGAAAUGUUCCAUGUGAAUGACACUUACACAUGGGUUAGUCGAUCCUAAGAGAUGAGGGAAGCCUGUCAGGGAGUGUGCACCAUGCGAACUUCGAAAGGGAAUCGAGUUAAAAUUCUUGAACCGGGAUGUGGCGGCUGACGGCAACGUUAGGAAGGCCGUAGACGUCGGCGUGGGCCUUGGGAAGAGUUAUCUUUUCUGUUUAACAGCCAACCCACCCUGAAAAUGGCUCAGCCGGAGGUAGGGUCUAGCAGCUGGAAGAGCACCGCACGUCGUGUGGUGUCCCAUGCGCCCGCAACGGCCCUUAAAAAUUCGAAGGACCGAGUGCCUCUCACACCCGAUCGUACUCAUAACCGCAUCAAAUCUUCAAGGUGAACAGCCUUUGGUCGAUGGAAGAAUGUAGGCAACGAACGUCGGUAAAAUUAACCUCGGGAACAGGAUUGGCUCUAAGGGUUGGGCACAGGGGUCCCAGUCCCGAACCCGUCGGUUGUCGGUGGACUACUCGAGCUGCUCCCACGGCGAGAGUGGGUUGCCGCGUGCCAGCCGGGGGACGGACUAGGAACGACCCCCUCAGGAGCCUUCCCCGGACAUCAAAUAGUCGACUCAGAACUGGUUCGGACAAGGGGAAUCUGACUGCUUAAUUAAAAUAAAGCAUUGCGAUGGUCCCUGCGGAUGCUCACGCAAUGUGAUUUCUGCCCAGUGCUCUGAAUGUCAAAGUGAAGAAAUUCAACCAAGUGCGGGUAAACGACAGGAGUAACUGUCUCUCUUAAGGUAGCCAAAUGCCUCAUCAUCUAAUUAGUGAUGUGCAUGAAUGGAUUAACGAGAUUCCUACUAUCCCUGUCUAUUAUCCAGGGAAACCAUAGCUAAGGGAACGCGCUUAGCAAAAUCAACGGGGAAAGAAGACCCUGUUGAGCUUGACUCUAGUCCGACUUUGUGAAAUGACUUGAGAGGUGUAGGAUAAGUGGGAGCCAUCUCGGCGGUGCAAGUGAAAUACCACUACUUUUAACGUUAUUUUACUUAUUCUGUGAGUUGAAGGUGGGGCAUUGCCUCCCUUUUAGUACCAAGGCCGGCUUCAGCCGGCCGAUCCGGGCGGAAGACAUUGUCAGGUGGGGUGUCAGGUGGGGAGUUUGGCUGGGGCGGCACAUCUAUUAGAAGAUAACGCAGGUGUCCUGAGAUGAGCUCAACAAGAACAGAAAUCUCGUGUGGAACAAAAGGGUAAAAGCUCGUUUGAUUCUGAUUUCCAAUACGAAUACGAACCGUGAAAGCGUGGCCUAUCGAUCCUUUAGACCUUCAGAAUUUGAAGCUAGAGGUGUCAGAAAAGUUACCAUAGGGAUAACUGACUUGUGGCAACCAAGCGUUCAUAGCGACGUUGCUUUUUUAUCCUUCGAUGUCGGCUCUUCCUAUCAUUGUGAAGCAGAAUUCACCAAGUGUUGGAUUGUUCACCCACCAAUAGAGAACGUGAGAUGGGUUUAGACUAUCGUGAGACAGGUUAGUUUUACCCUACUGAUGACGUGCCGCGAUAGUAAUUCAACAUAGUACGAAAGGAACCGUUGAUUCACACAAUUGGUUAUUGCACUUGGUUGAAGAGCCAGUGACGCGAAGCUACCAUGUGCCGAAUUAUGACUGAACGCCUCUAAGUCAGAAUCCAAGCUAAACAUGCGGCGCAUACGUCCGCCGCCCGUUUGCCAACCCGCAGUAGGGGCCGCAAGGCCCCCAUGGGCCUGUGUCGUUGUUGAAAGCCCCUGCGGCGGAUGAGCCACGUGGAGCCGCUUUGAAGCGAAAUUCCUGUCGGAUGGCGGGCCGAAUCCUUUGCAGAAGACUUAAAUACGCGAUGGGGUAAUGUAAGUGUCAUGUCAAAGAUGCACGCACGCGCGCCCCUGAUGCAAGCGUAGGC